rnacentral:rRNA from 1 species
CCUUGUACACACCGCCCGUCAAGCCAUGGAAGAUGAGUGUACCUGAAGACGAUAACCGCAAGGAGUCAUCAAGGGUAAAAUCAUUGACUGGGGCU